rnacentral:misc_RNA from 1 species
AUUACGUUUCUGUCAUUGGAUGAAAAUAUCAUGUAUCAUUACAUAAAUAUACUUAAAUAUAGAAGAACAUUAUAAUCUUAGACGGCGCCAAGCCAUGUUUAUCCAACAGUGUUCGUUAAGGUUGUUUUAUACAUGAACAUAAUAAUAGCUUCGCCAAUAAAAAUAUCACGGACCUCCUGUUAUGCAUCAAACGGUCGAUGCUUAGUGAUAUAGAGUGUCAAUAAUUACUGUUGUUGGUACCCUCGACAAAAUGUCACCUGAAAUCGAAAAGAGAGUACGAAGCAAAACCGUGGUUAAAGAUGUAUCUGACUCCUGCAACCCUCUAUGCUUUUAGAUUAUCAUUCCAACAGGGAACUGUUUCGUCUGUGCUCCGUAGAAAUACGAUCGAACGUCAUACCACCAAAUCAGCAUGUUUGCUUGCAAUUAUUGGCCUAUCUAUGAGCGUAUUUUCUGUGAGGAAGUUGCUAGCCUCAAAACACAAUAGUCGUUUGUAAAAUCGUUAUUAAAGUCAGCAGCAACAGAUCAAUCCGAAAAAAAAGUAAAAAAAAUGAAGAGAAAAGGCAGCGUAAUUGUUUGGGACGAAAGAUUCUCACCAAAUAUUAGAAUAUUACACAAACUCCCUUGAUUGUAUUAUAUAGCGGAAAUCAGAAAUCUCAUAUUAUCGCGUUGUAUUCCGCAAAUGUUAAUCUUUUUCUAACGAAGUACAUUAACUACAUUGAACAUACGUGCGUUUUCACGUUUUAAUAAAUACUUCAAACGAAAAACAAAGACUUAAAGUAGAAAUAACUAUAAAAAUAUAAAACGUAUUAUGUAAUUUAACUUAAGCGAUAUAAAUCGACAAUUAUUUCGUAUUGCGGCACUCUUUAUGUAUUCAGUUAACAUGCCAUGUACAGAAAAACGAAUGCGAUUCGAUAAUUUUGGAUGGAUGAUUUGUAAGAGCUCGUAAGAGCUUUUAAAAAUAUUACUUUAUAGCACGAAAUCGGUUUAUCGAAAUUUUAUUGCGAUUGUUGCUGCUACUCAGUUAUAGACACCGAUGAGUAAUUAUAAGUAAUAUAAGCGCAACGUUGUACACUUGUAUAGAUUGUAUUCACUUCGUCGUAGUCAAAUGAUACAAAUUUUUUUGUCACAUAAAGUUGUCAAUUCACCUUUAUUAGUAGAUUUAUGUUUUAUAUACCCUAGUCCUAUUUUACGGUCCUACAAAAUCGCAUUAAAAUUUAUAAUAUUCCUAGAUACGUAAAUAUUUUAAACAAAAUGUUACCGUGUACUUAUGGGUAUAUUUGUAGCAUUGGCGAUAUCAUUAGGUACAGUCUCUCCGUAACUAUGAAUUAAUAAAAAGCGACAGAAUCAUGUUUAUUAGACUUAAUGUGUACAUUUAUUUAUAAUUAUCAUACAAUCUCACACUCGAUAUUUAUCGACUCGACGUCUCACCUAUAUACUCUCGCAUUCGUUCUUUCAAGCUCGCGAUUUUAUCUCGUAUUCUCGUAAAACAUCUC